rnacentral:rRNA from 1 species
CGAAUGGGGAAACCCAGUGUGACUCGUCACACUAUCAUUAACUGAAUCCAUAGGUUAAUGAGGCGAACCGGGGGAACUGAAACAUCUAAGUACCCCGAGGAAAAGAAAUCAACCGAGAUUCCCCCAGUAGCGGCGAGCGAACGGGGAGGAGCCCAGAGCCUGAAUCAGCAUGUGUGUUAGUGGAAGCGUCUGGAAAGGCGCGCGAUACAGGGUGACAGCCCCGUACACAAAAGCGCAUGUGCUGUGAGCUCGAUGAGUAGGGCGGGACACGUGGUAUCCUGUCUGAAUAUGGGGGGACCAUCCUCCAAGGCUAAAUACUCCUGACUGACCGAUAGUGAACCAGUACCGUGAGGGAAAGGCGAAAAGAACCCCGGCGAGGGGAGUGAAAAAGAACCUGAAACCGUGUACGUACAAGCAGUGGGAGCACAGGUUUACCUGUGUGACUGCGUACCUUUUGUAUAAUGGGUCAGCGACUUAUAUUCUGUAGCAAGGUUAACCGUAUAGGGGAGCCGGAGGGAAACCGAGUCUUAAUUGGGCGUUAAGUUGCAGGGUAUAGACCCGAAACCCGGUGAUCUAGCCAUGGGCAGGUUGAAGGUUGGGUAACACUAACUGGAGGACCGAACCGACUAAUGUUGAAAAAUUAGCGGAUGACCUGUGGCUGGGGGUGAAAGGCCAAUCAAACCGGGAGAUAGCUGGUUCUCCCCGAAAGCUAUUUAGGUAGCGCCUCGUGAAUUCAUCUCCGGGGGUAGAGCACUGUUUCGGCUAGGGGGCCAUCCCGGCUUACCAACCCGAUGCAAACUGCGAAUACCGGAGAAUGUUAUCACGGGAGACACACGGCGGGUGCUAACGUCCGUCGUGAAGAGGGAAACAACCCAGACCGCCAGCUAAGGUCCCAAAGUCAUGGUUAAGUGGGAAACGAUGUGGGAAGGCCCAGACAGCCAGGAUGUUGGCUUAGAAGCAGCCAUCAUUUAAAGAAAGCGUAAUAGCUCACUGGUCGAGUCGGCCUGCGCGGAAGAUGUAACGGGGCUAAACCAUGCACCGAAGCUGCGGCAGC